rnacentral:rRNA from 1 species
UACGGGAGGCAGCAGUGGGGAAUAUUGCACAAUGGGCGAAAGCCUGAUGCAGCUAUGCCGCGUGUAUGAAGAAGGCCUUAGGGUUGUAAAGUACUUUCAUCGGGGAGGAAAAACAAAACUAAUAAUUUUAUUUCUUGACGUUACCCGAAAAAGAAGCACCGGCUAACUCCGUGCCAGCAGCCGCGGUAAUACGGAGGGUGCUAGCGUUAAUCAGAAUUACUGGGCGUAAAGAGCACGUAGGUGGUUUUUUUAAGUCAGAUGUGAAAUCCCUGGGCCUAACCUGGAACUGCAUUUUGAAACUGAAAUACUAGAGUAUCGUAGAGGGAGGUAGAAUUCUAGGUGUAGCGGUGAAAUGCGUAGAUAUCUGGAGGAAUACCUGUGGCGAAAGCGGCCUCCUAAACGAAUACUGACACUGAGGUGCGAAAGCGUGGGGAGCAAACAGGGAUUAGAUACC